rnacentral:rRNA from 1 species
GUAGGUGGCAGCGUUGUCCGGGAAUUAUUGGGGCGUAAAGCGCGCGCAGGCGGUUCUUUAAGUCUGAUGUGAAAGCCCACGGGCUCAACCGUGGAGGGUCAUUGGAAACUGGAGAACUUGAGUACAGAAGAGGAAAGCGGAAUUCCACGUGUAGCGGUGAAAUGCGUAGAGAUGUGGAGGAACACCAGUGGCGAAGGCGGCUUUCUGGUCUGUAACUGACGCUGAGGCGCGAAAGCGUGGGGAGCAAACAGGAUUAGAUACCCUGGUAGUCCACGCCGUAAACGAUGAGUGCUAAGUGUUAGGGGGUUUCCGCCCCUUAGUGCUGCAGCUAACGCAUUAAGCACUCCGCCUGGGGAGUACGGCCGCAAAGGCUGA